rnacentral:rRNA from 3 species
GAAUGCUGACAUAAGUAACGAUAAAGCGGGUGAAAAGCCCGCUCGCCGGAAGACCAAGGGUUCCUGUCCAACGUUAAUCGGGGCAGGGUGAGUCGACCCCUAAGGCGAGGCCGAAAGGCGUAGUCGAUGGGAAACGGGUUAAUAUUCCCGUACUUGGUGUUACUGCGAAGGGGGGACGGAGAAGGCUAUGUUGGCCGGGCGACGGUUGUCCCGGUUUAAGCGUGUAGGUGUGUGUUCCAGGUAAAUCCGGUUCACUUUAACACUGAGGCGUGACGACGAGGCACUACGGUGCUGAAGCAACAAAUGCCCUGCUUCCAGGAAAAGCCUCUAAGCAUCAGGUAACAUCAAAUCGUACCCCAAACCGACACAGGUGGUCAGGUAGAGAAUACCAAGGCGCUUGAGAGAACUCGGGUGAAGGAACUAGGCAAAAUGGUGCCGUAACUUCGGGAGAAGGCACGCUGACACGUAGGUGAAGUGAUUUACUCAUGGAGCUGAAGUCAGUCGAAGAUACCAGCUGGCUGCAACUGUUUAUUAAAAACACAGCACUGUGCAAACACGAAAGUGGACGUAUACGGUGUGACGCCUGCCCGGUGCCGGAAGGUUAAUUGAUGGGGUCAGCGCAAGCGAAGCUCCUGAUCGAAGCCCCGGUAAACGGCGGCCGUAACUAUAACGGUCCUAAGGUAGCGAAAUUCCUUGUCGGGUAAGUUCCGACCUGCACGAAUGGCGUAAUGAUGGCCAGGCUGUCUCCACCCGAGACUCAGUGAAAUUGAACUCGCUGUGAAGAUGCAGUGUACCCGCGGCAAGACGGAAAGACCCCGUGAACCUUUACUAUAGCUUGACACUGAACAUUGAGCCUUGAUGUGUAGGAUAGGUGGGAGGCUUUGAAGUGUGGACGCCAGUCUGCAUGGAGCCGACCUUGAAAUACCACCCUUUAAUGUUUGAUGUUCUAACGUGGACCCGUUACCCGGGUUGCGGACAGUGUCUGGUGGGUAGUUUGACUGGGGCGGUCUCCUCCUAAAGAGUAACGGAGGAGCACGAAGGUUGGCUAAUCCUGGUCGGACAUCAGGAGGUUAGUGCAAUGGCAUAAGCCAGCUUGACUGCGAGCGUGACGGCGCGAGCAGGUGCGAAAGCAGGUCAUAGUGAUCCGGUGGUUCUGAAUGGAAGGGCCAUCGCUCAACGGAUAAAAGGUACUCCGGGGAUAACAGGCUGAUACCGCCCAAGAGUUCAUAUCGACGGCGGUGUUUGGCACCUCGAUGUCGGCUCAUCACAUCCUGGGGCUGAAGUAGGUCCCAAGGGUAUGGCUGUUCGCCAUUUAAAGUGGUACGCGAGCUGGGUUUAGAACGUCGUGAGACAGUUCGGUCCCUAUCUGCCGUGGGCGCUGGAGAACUGAGGGGGGCUGCUCCUAGUACGAGAGGACCGGAGUGGACGCAUCACUGGUGUUCGGGUUGUCAUGCCAAUGGCACUGCCCGGUAGCUAAAUGCGGAAGAGAUAAGUGCUGAAAGCAUCUAAGCACGAAACUUGCCCCGAGAUGAGUUCUCCCUGAGACUUAGA